CAGAAGAUAGUUUAAAUUAGAACUCCAGUUUUGGGGACUAGAGGUGAGAAGUAUCUUUCUUCUGA
rnacentral:tRNA from 1 species